rnacentral:rRNA from 1 species
UACGUAGGUGGCAAGCGUUGUUCGGAAUUAUUGGGCUUAAAGGGUGCGUAGGCGGCGCUGUAAGUGCCUUGUGAAAUCCCAUGGCUCAACCAUGGAAUUGCUCGGUAGACUGCAGCGCUUGAGGUUGGUAGAGGUCGCUGGAACUCUAGGUGGAGCGGUGAAAUGCGUAGAUAGUCUAGAGGAACGCCAAAGGUGAAGACAAGGACGACCUGGGGCCAAUUCUGACGCUGAGGCACGAAAGCGUGGGUAGCGAACAGG